ACGAGGCUGUCUAUGCCUUUCACCCAUCGGUAGCUCUCCUCCUGUCCCUGCCUCUAUGCACACACUCUGCCAGGCAUAGUCUUCCUCCCUCUGUGUGUGUCUCUCUCUCGCUUCAGCUCCUAAAACCUAAGAUGCAUCGGAUAUAAAAACACGCACAUAAACACACACACACACACACACACAUCAACAAGCCAUGGAGAAAGAUCAGGAAUUACUGCAAGCUGUCAAAACCGAAGAUGUAGCUGCAAUGCAGAAGCUGUUGCAAAGGCCGAAACAAGGCAAAGCGAAACCAUACAAUUAGACUGUUUUGAUGAGGAACUUAAAGAUUACGAGUCCCGUCCGUUUGACUCAGAGUUUGGUACCAUAGGUUGGUACGAUCUUCGUUGGAGAAGGAAAAGGGAUGUUCCAGAUACAGAAAAUAGUCAAACCAUUUACUACAAAGUCCGUUUCUGGGUGGAGUUAGUGGAACCGAAAAAGAUGUCUCCCUCACAGCGUUUGUGACAAAAGAAUUGCAUUGUUCCUUGGCGGCCUUUCAACAGAAGAAUAUUCAGAGAUUUCA